rnacentral:rRNA from 1 species
GUGUCAGCCGCCGCGGUAAUACGUAGGUGGCAAGCGUUGUCCGGAAUUACUGGGCGUAAAGCGCGCGUAGACGGCUUAAUAAGUCAGAUGUGAAAGACCCGGGCUCAACCCGGGGGUUGCAUCUGAGACUGCUAAGCUUGAGUGCAGGAGAGGCAAGUGGAAUUCCCAGUGUAGCAGUGAAAUGCGUAGAUAUUGGGAGGAACACCAGUGGCGAAGGCGACUUGCUGGACUGUAACUGACGUUGAGGUGCGAAAGCUAGGGGAGCAAACGGGAUUAGAAACCCGGGUAGUCC